rnacentral:rRNA from 1 species
CUGAUGUUAGCGGCGGACGGGUGAGUAACACGUGGAUAACCUACCUAUAAGACUGGGAUAACUUCGGGAAACCGGAGCUAAUACCGGAUAAUAUUUUGAACCGCAUGGUUCAAAAGUGAAAGACGGUCUUGCUGUCACUUAUAGAUGGAUCCGCGCUGCAUUAGCUAGUUGGUAAGGUAACGGCUUACCAAGGCAACGAUGCAUAGCCGACCUGAGAGGGUGAUCGGCCACACUGGAACUGAGACACGGUCCAGACUCCUACGGGAGGCAGCAGUAGGGAAUCUUCCGCAAUGGGCGAAAGCCUGACGGAGCAACGCCGCGUGAGUGAUGAAGGUCUUCGGAUCGUAAAACUCUGUUAUUAGGGAAGAACAUAUGUGUAAGUAACUGUGCACAUCUUGACGGUACCUAAUCAGAAAGCCACGGCUAACUACGUGCCAGCAGCCGCGGUAAUACGUAGGUGGCAAGCGUUAUCCGGAAUUAUUGGGCGUAAAGCGCGCGUAGGCGGUUUUUUAAGUCUGAUGUGAAAGCCCACGGCUCAACCGUGGAGGGUCAUUGGAAACUGGAAAACUUGAGUGCAGAAGAGGAAAGUGGAAUUCCAUGUGUAGCGGUGAAAUGCGCAGAGAUAUGGAGGAACACCAGUGGCGAAGGCGACUUUCUGGUCUGUAACUGACGCUGAUGUGCGAAAGCGUGGGGAUCAAACAGGAUUAGAUACCCUGGUAGUCCACGCCGUAAACGAUGAGUGCUAAGUGUUAGGGGGUUUCCGCCCCUUAGUGCUGCAGCUAACGCAUUAAGCACUCCGCCUGGGGAGUACGACCGCAAGGUUGAAACUCAAAGGAAUUGACGGGGACCCGCACAAGCGGUGGAGCAUGUGGUUUAAUUCGAAGCAACGCGAAGAACCUUACCAAAUCUUGACAUCCUUUGACAACUCUAGAGAUAGAGCCUUCCCCUUCGGGGGACAAAGUGACAGGUGGUGCAUGGUUGUCGUCAGCUCGUGUCGUGAGAUGUUGGGUUAAGUCCCGCAACGAGCGCAACCCUUAAGCUUAGUUGCCAUCAUUAAGUUGGGCACUCUAAGUUGACUGCCGGUGACAAACCGGAGGAAGGUGGGGAUGACGUCAAAUCAUCAUGCCCCUUAUGAUUUGGGCUACACACGUGC